rnacentral:rRNA from 1 species
UACGUAGGGUGCAAGCGUUGUCCGGAAUUAUUGGGCGUAAAGAGCUCGUAGGCGGUCUGUCGCGUCGGCUGUGAAAAACCCGAGGCUCAACCUCGGGCCUGCAGUCGAUACGGGCAAACUAGAGUACUGCAGGGGAGACUGGAAUUCCUGGUGUAGCGGUGAAAUGCGCAGAUAUCAGGAGGAACACCGGUGGCGAAGGCGGGUCUCUGGGGCAGUAACUGACGCUGAGGAGCGAAAAGCCGUGGGGGAGCGAACAGG